CCCGUAUGGGUACCUGCGUAGAAUGCGAGUCGAGCGGACAGAUGGGAGCUUGCUCCCUGAUGUUAGCGGCGGACGGGUGAGUAACACGUGGGUAACCUGCCUGUAAGACUGGGAUAACUCCGGGAAACCGGGGCUAAUACCGGAUGGUUGUUUGAACCGCAUGGUUCAGACAUAAAAGGUGGCUUCGGCUACCACUUACAGAUGGACCCGCGGCGCAUUAGCUAGUUGGUGAGGUAACGGCUCACCAAGGCGACGAUGCGUAGCCAACCUGAGAGGGUGAUCGGCCACACUGGGACUGAGACACGGCCCAGACUCCUACGGGAGGCAGCAGUAGGGAAUCUUCCGCAAUGGACGAAAGUCUGACGGAGCAACGCCGCGUGAGUGAUGAAGGUUUUCGGAUCGUAAAGCUCUGUUGUUAGGGAAGAACAAGUGCCGUUCAAAUAGGGCGGCACCUUGACGGUACCUAACCAGAAAGCCACG
rnacentral:rRNA from 1 species